AUACGGAGGGUGCAAGCGUUGUUCGGAAUCACUGGGCGUAAAGGGCACGCAGGCGGUUUGGUAAGUCAGAUGUGAAAGCCCAUGGCUCAACCAUGGAAGUGCAUUUGAAACUGUCAGACUUGAGUACUAGAGGGGAAAGUGGAAUUCCCGGUGUAGAGGUGAAAUUCGUAGAUAUCGGGAGGAAUACCGGUGGCGAAGGCGACUUUCUGGCUAGAUACUGACGCUGAGGCGCGAAAGCGUGGGGAGCAAACAGGAUUAGAAACCCCUGUAGUCC
rnacentral:rRNA from 1 species